ensembl:lncRNA
CAGGGCCCACUUUAAUCUAGUAUGACCUCACCCUAACACAACUAAUUGCAACUGCAAAGACUGUGUUUCCAAAUAAAGUCACGUUCUGAGAUUCUGGGUGAACAUACGUUUUGGAGACACACUAUUCAACUCACUGAACUAAAGGCCACAAAUAUCUUCUUCUACAAGUUUUAUAACGUUUGGUGGCACAUUUAGUUCUGUGAUGCAUAUUGGUUUAAUUUUUGUAUUUGAUGGUAGUUACAGGUAAAUGUUUAUUUUUGUUCUUAUGGAGUCCAAUUACUCAAAAACUAUUUGUUGAAAAGAUUGUCUUCUACCUUGAAUUGUCUUUGCAUCUUUGUUGAAAAUUGAUUGAUCAUAUAUGUAUAAGUCUAUUGCCAGACUCUGGUGACUUUUUGGUCGAUAUCACACUGUCUUGAUUCCUAUAGUUUUAUAGUAAGUCUUCAGAUCAGGUAUGGUGAAUACUCUAGCAAAAUUCUUCAGAAUUAUUUUAGACAUUGUAGUUAAAUUGCUUUUCUAUACACUUUUGAUAAUCGUAUUUAUUGGGGCAUCAUAUUUAUUGAAAUAGGCUGAAGACAGCGUGGCCUCAGUAUAAGCUGAGAUAAUCUGCUGUGAAGAACAACACACAAAGGUUCCAGUAGCUGCAGAAGGAUAUGUGGUGGCUGUCUGCUGAUGUGCCUCCGGAGCCGAUCCUCCUCCACGGGCUGAAGCUGUGACUCGGGUCCCGCCUUCCAGCCCCAGUCUGCCAAUGAGCGGCAUUUCUUCUCGUCAGCAGCAGGCUUGUGUUCUCGCUGGGAGCCCGAGGGAGACAAGAACUCAGUUACUCACAGAGAGCCAAGAAGGAGGGGUCAGGAGGACCCCAGUGUUUAUAGAACCACUUGUAUUCAACUUCAGAUUAGUCCUACAUAUUUUUAGUUGUUGGGGAGAGUUCUUCUGAUAAGCUCCCAGAUAAGCAUAUGUUGUAAACACACAAUAAAUGGGUUCCUGGAAAAAUAAAAACCUUCGCUUAAAAUGGAACAAGAUGAAGUAUGUAUGGUGGAGGUCAGGGGUGGGGUUGGAGUUUGAAUUGUAUGUUUAAGCCCACUGAGGAAACUUGCUCUGCAGGGGAAUUGCUUGAAUCUUUUAGAGUAGACAUAUUAAUAUUCAUAAAUUAACACUCAUCUUUUAAUGUAUCUUUUGUAUAAGUCCUGAUUAUCACAGGUUGUAUCAGGUACACUUUAAGUGAGGCAAAAUACAUAACAAUUUCAUAUUUGUUAAUAGGCUCUGGUGGACUGAAAACAUUUAUUCUGAGAUUCUUGAAACAGACUCAGAUUUGCUUUUAAGGGGAGGUGGCAGUGGGAUGCCACCUGGGCUUUCUCUUUGCUGAGCUCUGCUGGGGCCCGGAGAAACCUUGAAGAGGCAGGCGGGGUGGUCUCCAUGAAAUGAGACAUCCGAGUCAGCGUAAUUACUCAUUAGAGUGACGGGGAGAUCCCAGACUGACAACCACAGAGGCGGUCUCCCCAUCUGCAGUCUGAGGAUGCCCACCAGGUGGCGGUACCCUGGAUGCUGGUUCCUGCAGACUGGCACCAUUGGUGGGCUUGCUCCUCUUCGAACUAAAAUAGAACUGAUUCUGAAAAGCAGCCCCUCUGGACUGUCUUGCUUGGGUCUCAAGCAAGCAGACCUCUUGGGGCCCCUGCAGUUCACUUCCCUCCCAGCCUCCAGGGCCUGGCCGGUGCUGAUAGAAGGGAGGGCUGGAGGCACCUUGAAUCGGAUGUGGCUUGUCAGAGAAAGCAUCAGUCCCAGCUUUGUUCUGUGGGUGGAGUUUGUUGGCUGUGUGCUCAGCGCUCUUACUGAUGGGAGACAAUGCCACGGUUUUGCUCCUCUAGACUUUAAAGUCCUUGUCGGCAGGAGCUGUGUGUCAUGCUUCUCUUGUGAGCCCUCUCGGAGCCCAGGCUGUCUACGCGGGAUGUCAUAGAGCAUCCUCUUUAAGAAAAAGGCCCUGGAACCAAAUUGCCUUGGUUGAAUGCAACUGUGUGACAAACUAUUGCUCAAACUGUGUAACUUUGAGUAACAGCAAAAUAAGGACAAUAAUAGUAUUACAUGGAUUAAUAUAUGCAAAGCACUUAGAACAGUGCCUUACAACAGUGAUAACAGCUGAGUAAAUGUUGUAUAUGAUGUAUAUAUGCAUAUAUAUAUAUAUAUCAGUUCAGUUCAGUUCAGUCGCUCAGUCGUGUCUGAUUCUGCGACCCCAUGGACUGCAGCAUGCCAGGCUUCCCUGUCCAUCACCAACUCCUGGAUCUUGCUCAAACUCACGUCCAUGGCCUUUAAUGGUAGGGUUAAAUUUUUUUAUUGAAGAUGGAGAGUAUUUAUUUUGCCAUGAAAUGUCUCCUUCAUUCUAAGGAGCCUGAAGGAUUUGAGAAGAUGAUCUUACACUCUUAGGUAGGCAGCAAUGGCAACCCACUCCAGUACUCUUGC